CCUACGGGUGGCAGCAGUGGGGAAUAUUGCACAAUGGGGGAAACCCUGAUGCAGCGACGCCGCGUGAGUGAAGAAGGAAUUCGUUAUGUAAAGCUCUAUCAGCAGGGAAGAAAAUGACGGUACCUGAGUAAGAAGCCCCGGCUAACUACGGGCCAGCAGCCGCGGUAAUACGUAGGGGGCAAGCGGUAUCCGGAUUUACUGGGGGGAAAGGGAGCGUAGACGGCAGUGCAAGUCUGGAGUGAAAGGCGGGGGCUCAAACCCCGGACUGCUCUGGAAACUGUACGGCUGGAGUGCAGGAGAGGUAAGUGGAAUUCCUGGUGUAGCGGUGAAAUGCGUAGAUAUUAGGAGGAACACCAGUGGCGAAGGCGGCUUACUGGACUGUAACUGACGUUGAGGCUCGAAAGCGUGGGGAGCAAACAGGAUUAGAUACCCCGGUAGUC
rnacentral:rRNA from 1 species